UGGGGAAUAUUGGACAAUGGGCGAAAGCCUGAUCCAGCCAUGCCGCGUGGAUGAAGAAGGCCCUAGGGUUGUAAAAUCCUUUCGAUGGUGAAGAUAAUGACGGUAACCAUUAAAGAAGCCCCGGCUAAUUUCGUGCCAGCAGCCGCGGUAAUACGAAAGGGGCUAGCGUUGUUCGGAAUUACUGGGCGUAAAGCGCACGUAGGCGGCCUGGCAAGUUAGAGGUGAAAUCCCGGAGCUCAACUCCGGAACUGCCUUUAAAACUGCUAAGCUAGAGGAUGUGAGAGGUAAGUGGAAUUCCGAGUGUAGAGGUGAAAUUCGUAGAUAUUCGGAAGAACACCAGUGGCGAAGGCGACUUACUGGCACAUUACUGACGCUGAGGUGCGAAAGCGUGGGGAGCAAACAGGAUUAGAUACCCCCGUAGUCC
rnacentral:rRNA from 1 species